rnacentral:tmRNA from 1 species
GGGGGUGACCUGGUUUCGACGGGGAUUGGAAGCAAAGGUGGCAUGCCGGGGACGCCAGUUGGCCUCGUUAAAAAACUGGCAUUUAUACAAACGCCGAUACUGACGUUUCGUACGCACUAGCAGCUUAAUUGCUGUUACGUCUUGAGUUCCAUUGCCUGUGUGGGCUUAAAGACGCAAUUUAAUAGGCUAGUUCCAGCAAGGGUUCGUGGUGCCGGAACGAAAUUAAAGCGAAAUCGCCUGUGUCAGAUCCUGUCG